GAUCAUGGCUCAGGAUGAACGCUGGCGGCGUGCCUAACACAUGCAAGUCGAACGGACUUUUACCCCAGCGGCUUCGGCCAAAGAGGUUAAAGUUAGUGGCGGACGGGUGAGUAACGCGUGGAGAACCUGCCUCAUGCUGGGGGAUAACAGUGGGAAAUCACUGCUAAUACCGCAUAAGCGCACGAAGGCGCAUGCCUUUGUGUGAAAAAACUCCGGUGGCAUGAGAUGGCUCCGCGUUGGAUUAGCCAGUUGGCGGGGUAACGGCCCACCAAAGCAUCGAUCCAUAGCCGGCCUGAGAGGGUGAACGGCCACAUUGGGACUGAGACACGGCCCAGACUCCUACGGGAGGCAGCAGUGGGGAAUAUUGCACAAUGGGGGAAACCCUGAUGCAGCGACGCCGCGUGAAGGAAGAAGUAUCUCGGUAUGUAAACUUCUAUCGACAGGGAAGAUAAUGACGGUACCUGAAUAAGAAGCCCCGGCUAACUACGUGCCAGCAGCUGC
rnacentral:rRNA from 1 species